AGUGAACGCUGGCGGUAUGCCUAACACAUGCAAGUCGAACGGCAGCACAGUAAGAGCUUGCUCUUACGGGUGGCGAGUGGCGGACGGGUGAGGAAUACAUCGGAAUCUACUUUUUCGUGGGGGAUAACGUAGGGAAACUUACGCUAAUACCGCAUACGACCUACGGGUUAAAGCAGGGGACCUUCGCACUUUGCGCGAUUGAAUGAGCCGAUGUCGGAUUAGCUAGUUGGCGGGGUAAAGGCCCACCAAGGCGACGAUCCGUAGCUGGUCUGAGAGGAUGAUCAGCCACACUGGAACUGAGACACGGUCCAGACUCCUACGGGAGGCAGCAGUGGGGAAUAUUGGACAAUGGGCGAAAGCCUGAUCCAGCCAUACCGCGUGAGUGAAGAAGGCCUUCGGGUUGUAAAGCCCUUUUGUUGGGAAAGAAAAGCAGCAGGUUAAUACCCCGCUGUUCUGACGGUACCCAAAGAAUAAGCACCGGCUAACUUCGUG
rnacentral:rRNA from 1 species